ensembl:lncRNA
CUCUGUCCACUCACCUUCAGCUGGGGUCAGUACGAGACCUCCUCAGUGAAGAAGAGAGUGUUGGUUUCCUUAGCAAGAUGCAGAGCACUUGAAAGAGACAAAAUUGAUGGAGCCAAGUUUUGGAGAGUUACAUCAAGAGAUGAUGAGAUCAGAUACUGAAACCCCAGCAGGUGGAGGAAGUUAAACACAUGAUGACCAGACAGUAGCCGUGACAUAAGCUGCCACAAUUCUGAGAAUUGGCCUCAAGGAAAUGGAAACAAACCGGCCCUGGAACUGAAGACUAAUUGUACUUAAAACAAUCACCACAUGACCAACUUUAAGAAGACUGGCGGAGCUGACUGUGUCUGCAUGAAGCCCCCUCUGUCUAUAAAAGCUCUUGCCCACUGCUUGUCAGUGGGGGGUGUCAGCCUUUGGACUAGAGUCUGCCCUUUCCCCCACCUCAGUUGCCAGCAUCUGAAAUAAAGUAAACUUACCUUUCCACAAAACUUGUCUUGCUAUUGGCUUUUGAGGGGUGAGUAGCCAGACCUCCACUUUUGGUUACACUUCCUACAGGGGCAGCCUUGGAAAGGAGGCAGGACAGAGGUUCAGGAAGGCAAAUGAAGGAGAGAAGGGCUCUUCAAUCUUCGUCCUUCAACAGUAACAACUGACAUGGACAGAGGACUGUCUUUUGCCAGACACCAUCCUGAGAGCCUUAACAUGUAAC